rnacentral:rRNA from 1 species
UACGUAGGGGGCUAGCGUUGUCCGGAUUUAUUGGGCGUAAAGAGCUCGUAGGUGGUUCGGUAAGUCGGAUGUGAAAUCUCCAGGCUCAACCUGGAGGGGGUCAUUCGAUACUGCCGUGACUAGAGUUCGGUAGGGGAGUGGGGAAUUCCUGGUGUAGCGGUGAAAUGCGCAGAUAUCAGGAGGAACACCGGUGGCGAAGGCGGCCUUCUGGACGGUAACUGACGCUGAGACGCGAAAGCGUGGGGAGCAAACAGG